AGAGACAGCAGCCGCCGCGGGAAUACGUAGGUCCCGAGCGUUGUCCGGAUUUAUUGGGCGUAAAGCGAGCGCAGGCGGUUAGAUAAGUCUGAAGUUAAAGGCUGGGGCUUAACCAUAGUAUGCUUUGGAAACUGUUUAACUUGAGUGCAGAAGGGGAGAGUGGAAUUCCAUGUGUAGCGGUGAAAUGCGUAGAUAUAUGGAGGAACACCGGUGGCGAAAGCGGCUCUCUGGUCUGUAACUGACGCUGAGGAGCGAAAGCGUGGGGAGCGAACAGGAUUAGAGACCCGAGUAGUCCCUGUCUCUUAUACA
rnacentral:rRNA from 1 species